rnacentral:rRNA from 1 species
GACGAACGCUGGCGGCGUGCCUAAUACAUGCAAGUAGAACGCACAGUUUAUACCGUAGCUUGCUACACCAUACACUGUGAGUUGCGAACGGGUGAGUAACGCGUAGGUAACCUGCCUGGUAGCGGGGGAUAACUAUUGGAAACGAUAGCUAAUACCGCAUAAUAUUGAUUAUUGCAUGAUAAUUGAUUGAAAGAUGCUAUUGCAUCACUACCAGAUGGACCUGCGUUGUAUUAGCUAGUAGGUGAGGUAACGGCUCACCUAGGCGACGAUACAUAGCCGACCUGAGAGGGUGAUCGGCCACACUGGGACUGAGACACGGCCCAGACUCCUACGGGAGGCAGCAGUAGGGAAUCUUCGGCAAUGGACGAAAGUCUGACCGAGCAACGCCGCGUGAGUGAAGAAGGGUGUCGGAUCGUAAAGCUCUGUUGUAAGAGAAGAACGGGUGUGAGAGUGGAAAGUUCACACUGUGACGGUAUCUUACCAGAAAGGGACGGCUAACUACGUG